rnacentral:rRNA from 1 species
CACGUAGUUAGCCGUGGCUUUCUGGUUAGGUACCGUCAAGGUGCCGCCCUAUUUGAACGACACUUGUUCUUCCCUAACAACAGAGCUUUACGAGCCGAAACCCUUCAUCACUCACGCGGCGUUGCUCCGUCAGACUUUCGUCCAUUGCGGAAGAUUCCCUACUGCUGCCUCCCGUAGGAGUCUGGGCCGUGUCUCAGUCCCAGUGUGGCCGAUCACCCUCUCAGGUCGGCUACGCAUCGUCGCCUUGGUAAGCCGUUACCUUACCAACUAGCUAAUGCGCCGCGGGCCCAUCCUAUAGUGAUAGCCGAGGCCAUCUUUUACAACCGAACCAUGCGGUUCGAUCGAUUACCCGGUAUUAGCACCGAUUUCUCGGUGUUAUCCCGAUCUACAGGGCAGGUUGCCCACGUGUUACUCACCCGUCCGCCGCUAACUUCUGGGAGCAAGCUCCCAUUAGUCCGCUCGACUUGCAUGUAUUAGGCACGCCGCCAGCGUUCGUCCUGAGCCAGGAUCAAACU